rnacentral:rRNA from 1 species
UCACGGGGCUUAUAACUAUUCCAAACCUCUGUGAACCGUGCCCUUCGGGGCUAUUUUACAAACAUGGUGUAAUGCACGUCACAUAUCAUAACAAAACAAAACUUUCAACAACGGAUCUCUUGGCUCUCGCAUCGAUGAAGAACGCAGCGAAAUGCGAUAAGUAAUGUGAAUUGCAGAAUUCAGUGAAUCAUCGAAUCUUUGAACGCACCUUGCGCCCUCUGGUAUUCCGGAGGGCAUGCCUGUUUGAGUGUCAUGUAGACUCAAUCCCUCGGGUUUCCGAGGAGAUUGGACUUGGGUGUUGCCGCUCUGCCGGCUCGCCUUAAAAGACUUAGCGGGAUAGCACCGUAGUCGGCGUAAUAAGUUUCGUCGGUGAAGGCUGUGAUGACUGCUUACAAUCGCCCUCGGGCAAUUUUUGACUCUGACCUCAAAUCAGGUAGGACUACCCGCUGAACUUAAGCAUAUCAAUAAGCGGAGGAAAAGAAACUAACAAGGAUUCCCUUAGUAGCGGCGAACGAAGCGGGAAGAGCUCAAAUUUGAAAGCUGGCGUCCUUCGGGCGUCCGCAUUGUAAUCUAUAGAGGCGUUUUCUGUGCUGGACCGUGUACAAGUCUCCUG